rnacentral:lncRNA from 1 species
CUCUUGGUAGCUGCUUCCAAAUUGACAAAUCUGUGGAAGGGGGAAAGUUUCAGGCUUACCUUAGUUUACUUCCCUUCCCUACCAGUCAGGUUUCUGUCUGGAGACGCAGAACUGUGGAUGUGUGUGUGUGUCACAUCCAUCCAUGCACAUUGAGAUGUUCAUUGAGGGCAGUUGGCUUACUCAGUCUCAGAAACUGGCUAGUCUGAAAUCUACUGGCUAGUCUGAAAUCUAUCGGGCAGGUUACCAUCACAAGGGGCAGGCUAGAACUCUUGGGCAGGAGCAGAAGCCACAGUCCAGAAGUGGAAUUUCUCAUUCAGCAGAGAAGUUUUAUCUCUGUCCUUCAGACCUUUCCAUUGAUUGCUUCAGGCCCACUUAGAUUAUCUACAAUAAUCCUUACUUAAAGUGAUUACAGACUCAAUCAUAUCUACCAAGUACCAUAACACCUAGGUACUAAUCUAGUACCUAGUUUGAGUAACUGGGAACUGUAGCCUAGCCAAGGUGACAUGUAAAACUGCCCAACACACUUCCUCUCUAGGAACUGACCACCUUACUAAUUUCUGAUGCCUUCAAACAUGUUUUUUUUUUCCAUUUUGCCUAAAUUUUUUUUUAAGUUGGACACAAUAUUUUGUUUUAUUUAUUUUUAUGUGGUGCUGAGGAUCAAACCCAGCGCCUCGCAUAUACUAGUGAUAAACCCAGCCUAAUUCCCUCUUAAGAUUGGGGGCCAUAUCGCCACAAAGGCAUGACAAGCUAAUUUCAGCUUUACUAUAAAUUACUGCGAUUUCAAACUUGCUUGGAAUGCCUGCCCGUGCCUUGAACUCACCCAUGCCCGGCUUUCCCUGACAA